AGGUACAAUAAAGCUUCGAGGUUGACAUAAAGGAGCUCAUCGCUGAUGUGGCUCCCUGGUUUGGCCGACCUGCGCCUCCACGUGGACUAUUACAUUUGCUGGUCAAUGGCCUCCUCACACGGCCUCCUACUUUUCUUCCUGUUGAUGGUCGCUGCACCUCCAGCAGCUUAAAACUGUGAUUGCAUUCCAUUGGGUGUAGCUGGAUGCUGUUAGAUUUGCUGAUGAAAGACUUCUGGAUUAUUCAUAUUGGACCAAGGUACUUGCUGUUAGAAGCUACAUGUUUGAUGUUUAUUAUUGAUCAUAUGCUGGGGGUAACUUGAACAUUUCUCAAUGAUGAUAAUUGGCCAAGUUAGAGGAAGGUUCUUUAGAUACAAGAAUACCAAGAUGAAGCGUGUUGGUCGUGCUGUCCACUGGACUGCCGGCGUACACUAAGGCUUCCUGCCCCUGCCUUCUUCGACUGUGACCUCUCCUACUGCGGUAGCCUUCUUCUUCGACUCCUUGUGUUCAGGCGAUGCAAGUUUUAGAAGGCUGGUAGCAUCGAAGCCAUGACCUGCAGGUGGAGGGUGGAAGAACAGCUAGCGAAAGCUGAACUCCUCUUGCUUGCGAAACCAAUUGAAUACCUGGGUUGUACUGGUCGUGGACUGUUAUUUGUGACUCCAAAUCUGGAAUGUUGGGUGGUAGUCGACGAAGUACAUCGUUUUUGUGAUGCUCCAGACUUGUGAUGGAGUUGGGUUGUCCUGUUGCACUUUUAUUGAUUAUUGUUUGGAUUAUGAUCUGAUUAUCCCCAAAA